rnacentral:rRNA from 1 species
AUUGAAUGCUGGCGGCAUGCCUUACACAUGCAAGUCGUAACGGCAGCACGGGUGCUUGCACCUGGUGGCGAGUGGCGAAACGGGUGAGUAAUACAUCGGAAUGUACCUUGUAGUGGGGGAUAGCUCGGCGAAAGCCGGAUUAAUACCGCAUACGCUCUGAGGAGGAAAAGCGGGGGACCUUCGGGCCUCGUGCUACAAGAGCAGCCGAUGUCAGAUUAGCUUGUU